rnacentral:rRNA from 1 species
UACGUAGGGGGCGAGCGUUGUCCGGAAUUAUUGGGCGUAAAGAGCGUGUAGGCGGUUCGGUAAGUCUGUCGUGAAAUCCUGGGGCUCAACCUCGGGCGUGCGAUGGAUACUGCCGGGCUAGAGGGUGGUAGAGGCGAGUGGAAUUCCCGGUGUAGCGGUGAAAUGCGCAGAUAUCGGGAGGAACACCCGUAGCGAAGGCGGCACUCUGGGCCGGUACUGACGCUGAGGAGCGAAAGCGUGGGGAGCAAACAGG